UGACCUGCCAGAAGGAUCAUUAAGAUCAAAGGCUAUACCUUAUGAUGUUUGCCUUUUAAAAAGUAAAUGCUACGCUGAAUUUCAUAGUUCACAGCUUUCAGCUGGAAGUGACAGCAUGAAUUCUUGGUAUCUGCCUUGGUUUCUGUGCUCUCCUGCCCUCCUCUUGGUUUCUGGCUUGCCAACUCCAGAAAUCUUUGAUGUAGAUAAUGGACUUGACCGGGAUAUAUUUGAUAUCAAUGAAGAUCUGGGACUGGAUCUUUUUGAGGGAGACAUCAUACUUGAUGAGAUACAAGAAAGAAAUGCCAUCGUUGGAGAAAGAUAUAGGUGGCCUCAUACUAUUCCAUAUGUUCUAGAUGAUAGCUUGGAGAUGAAUGCCAGGGGGGUUAUCCUCAAGGCAUUUGAACGCUAUCGCCUAAAAUCAUGCAUUGACUUCAAGCCUUGGUCUGGAGAACCCAACUAUAUAUCAGUGUUCAAGGGCAAUGGCUGCUGGUCUUCAGUGGGGAAGCAACUUACUAGGAUGCAACAACUGUCCAUUGGAGAGGGCUGCGACAAAAUAGCAACGGUUCAACAUGAGUUUCUCCAUGCCCUUGGGUUCUGGCAUGAACAGUCACGGUCCGAUCGGGAUGACUAUGUCAGCAUAAUUUGGGACAGAAUUAUUUCAGGCAAAGAAAGAAAUUUUGACUCCUAUGAUGAUCAAGUGAUAGACUCCAUGAAUGUUCCCUAUGAUUACAGCUCAGUGAUGCACUACAGUAAAACUGCAUUCGGAAAUGGAUCAGAACCUACAAUUGUAACAAGGGUCCUGGACUUCAUGGAUGUGAUUGGCCAGCGAAUGGAUUUCAGUGACUCUGAUGUCUUAAAGUUGAAUCAACUGUAUAACUGCUCCUCCUCCUUGAGCUUUAUGGAGUCCUGCGAUUUUGAGCUGGGAAAUGUGUGUGGGAUGAUUCAGAGUUCAGCAGACAGUGCUGACUGGCAGCGGCUCUCCCAGGUCUCUGAGGGGCCAGAGAGCGAUCACUCCAACAUGGGCCAGUGCAGAGGUUCUGGCUUCUUCAUGCAUUUCAACAGUAGCUCUGUAAACGAGGGGGCUACAGCAAUACUGGAAAGUAGAAUAUUCUACCCUAAACGAGGAUUUCAGUGCUUGCAAUUUUUUUUGUACAACAGUGGAAGCCAAGAUGACCAACUGAACAUCUAUAUCAGGGAGUAUUCUGUGGCUCAUGUGAGCAGCACUCUAACCCUUGUGGAACAAAUAAAAGAUAUACCCUCUGGGAGCUGGCAACUUUACCACGUAACACUGAAUGUGACCAGUAAAUUUCGAGUGGUGUUUGAAGGGGUCAGAGGCGCUGGUGCCUCACUGGGUGGCCUGUCUAUUGACGACAUCAAUCUCUCAGAAACAUUGUGCCCUCAUCAUGUCUGGCAUAUAAGGAAUUUCACACAGCUUAUUGGCAGCCCCAAUGGGUCUUUCUUCAGCCCUCCAUUUUAUUCUUCUAAGGGAUAUGCCUUUCAGAUUUACUUGGAUCUAUAUAGUUUGCCUAAAAUAGGAAUAUAUUUCCACCUGAUCUCUGGAGCCAAUGACGGUCAGUUAGAGUGGCCGUGUCCUUGGCAACAAGUCACGAUAACAAUCUUGGAUCAAACUCCUGACAUUCGACAGCGUAUGUCCAACCAGCGGAGUCUAACGACAGACCCAUUUCUGACCAUUGAUAAUGGAACCUAUUUUUGGGACAGGCCUUCCAAAGUGGGAGCACAAGUUAUUUUCCCUAAUGGAACUCAGUUUCAAAGAGGUAGGGGCCGUGGAUUCCCUAACUUUAUGACCCAAGAGAUGCUGAAGAGCAGAGAUUUUAUCAAAGGAGAUGAUGUUUAUAUCCUACUGACAGUGGAAGACAUAUCCCACCUUAAUGCACAAAAUUACCCACUUCCAACCUUGGACGUCAGUGACCUCUGCACAAGUUUCAGGUGUGAGAAUGAUGGGAUCUGCAUUCUCCAGAAUGGCAGAGCUGAGUGCAGGUGUCGGUCGGGGGAUGACUGGUGGUACAUGGGAGAAAGGUGUGAAAAGAGAGGCUCAACACGAGACACCAUUGUCAUCGCCAUAUCGUCCACUGCUGCUGUGUUUGCCCUGAUGCUGAUCAUCACUCUCGUCAGCGUCUACUGUACCAGGAAGAAGUAUCUUAAAGAGUCAAGUUCAAGGACAGUCAACACUAUUAUGGAAAAUCAAUAUGCACUUUGAAGAUUAACUCUGCAAUACAGCCAGCCAAUGAAAUGAAAGACUCUUCAUCAUGGAUUCACCCAUAAUAUAUUACAACCACUUCCUCCUUCUGUAAAUGGAUCAUCUCUGUAAAUAGCUGGAUCCUGAAUACUUUCUCCUAUUUAAAAAAUGUUUUGUGAGCCUCCAUACCUACACUGAAACCAACCACCACACAAGAGCCAAUAAGUUUUAGAGCAAGACAUACCACGCAAAUUCUCCAGCAACGCAGGAACAUAGCCCUGAACAUCAACAUACAGGCCGCCCAAGGUCACACCUAACACACAGACCCAUCUCAAAACUCAUAACUGGGCACUCCAUUGCUCUCCAAAGAGAAGAAAUCAAGUUCCACGCACCAGAACACUGACGCAAGCUUCCCUAACCAGGAAAUCUCAACAAGCCAAUCGUCUAACCCCACCCACUGGGUUAAUCCUCCACAACAAAAAGGAACCACAGACCUCUAGAAUACAGAAAGCCCACUCCAGAUACAGCAAUCUAAACAAGAUGAAAAGGCAAAGAAAUACCCAACAGGUAAAGGAACAUGAAAAAUGCCCACCGAGUCAAACAAAAGAGGAGGAGAUAGGGAAUCUACCUGAAAAAGAAUUUAGAAUAAUGAUAAUAAAAAUGACCCAAAAUCUUGAAAACAAAAUGGAAUUACAGAUAAACAGCCUGGAAACAAAGAUUGAAAAGAUUCAAGAACUGUUUAAUAAAGACCUAGAAGAAAUAAAAAAGAGUCAAUUACAAAUGAAUAAUGCAAUGAAUGAGAUCAAAAACACUUUGGAGGGAACCAAGAGUAGAAUAACGGAGGCAGAAGAUAGGAUAAGUGAGGUAGAAGAUAAAAUGGUGGAAAUAAAUGAAGCAGAGAGGAAAAAAGAAAAAAGGAUCAAAAGAAAUGAGGACAACCUCAGGGACCUCUGGGACACUGUGAAACGCCCCAACAUUCGAAUCAUAGGAGUUCCAGAAGAAGAAGACAAAAAGAAAGGCCAUGAGAAAAUACUCGAGGAGAUAAUAGCUGAAAACUUCCCUAAAAUGGGGAAGGAAAUAGCCACCCAAAUCCAAGAAACCCAGAGAGUCCCAAACAGGAUAAACCCAAGGCGAAACACCCCAAGACACAUAUUAAUCAAAUUAACAAAGAUCAAACACAAAGAACAAAUAUUAAAAGCAGCAAGGGACAAACAACAAAUAACACACAAAGGGAUUCCCAUAAGGAUAACAGCUGAUCUAUCAAUAGAAACCCUCCAGGCCAGAAGGGAAUGGCAGGACGUACUGAAAGUAAUGAAAGAGAAUAACCUACAACCUAGAUUACUGUAUCCAGCAAGGAUCUCAUUCAGAUAUGAAGGAGAAUUCAAAAGCUUUACAGAUAAGCAAAAGCUGAGAGAAUUCAGCACCACCAAA